GAUGAACGCUGGCGGUAUGCUUAACACAUGCAAGUCGAACGGGAUUCUUCGGAAUCUAGUGGCGGACGGGUGAGUAACGCGUGAGAAUCUGCCUUCAGGUCGGGGACAACAUUUGGAAACGAAUGCUAAUACCCGAUGUGCCGCAAGGUGAAAGGUUAACUGCCUGAAGAUGAGCUCGCGUCCGAUUAGCUAGUUGGUGGUGUAAAGGACUACCAAGGCGACGAUCGGUAGCUGGUUUGAGAGGACAAUCAGCCACACUGGGACUGAGACACGGCCCAGACUCCUACGGGAGGCAGCAGUGGGGAAUUUUCCGCAAUGGGCGAAAGCCUGACGGAGCAAUACCGCGUGAGGGACGAAGGCCUGUGGGUUGUAAACCUCUUUUCUCAGGGAAGAAGCUCUGACGGUACCUGAGGAAUCAGCAUCGGCUAACUCCGUGCCAGCAGCCGCGGUAAU
rnacentral:rRNA from 1 species